CUCUCGAUAGCUCAGUGGUAGAGCACAUGACUGUAGAAUGUUAGAUAUCGUGGGGCCGCUGGUUCAAAUCCGGCUCGAGAGA
rfam:Edhazardia aedis TSNM 41457 supercont1.82, whole genome shotgun sequence.